GGAUGUGAUCAUACCAGCACUAAAGCACCGGAUCCCAUCAGAACUCCGAAGUUAAGGGUGCUUGGGCGAGAGUAGUACUAGGAUGGGUGACCUCCUGGGAAGUCCUCGUGUUACAUUCC
rnacentral:rRNA from 1 species